rnacentral:rRNA from 1 species
GAGUGAUGCGGCAACAGCUCAGAUUUGAAAUCUGGCCCCCCCCUCGGGGCCCGAGUUGUAAUCUUGAAGAGGAUGCUUCUGGCGCGGCCGCCCCCUAAGUUCCCUGGAACGGGACGCCACAGAGGGUGAGAGCCCCGUAGGGUCGGCAGCUAAGCCUCUGUGAAGCUCCCUCGAAGAGUCGAGUAGUUUGGGAAUGCUGCUCUAAACGGGAGGUAAAUUUCUUCUAAAGCUAAAUACCGGCCCAAGACCGAUAGCGCACAAGUAGAGUGAUCGAAAGAUGAAAAGCACUUUGAAAAGAGAGUUAAAUAGCACGUGAAAUUGCUGAAGGGGAAGCGCUAGUGACCAGACUUGCGCCCUGUGGAUCACCCGGCGUUCUCGCCGGGGCACUCCGCAGGGCGCAGGCCAGCAUCGGCCCCCCGGCCGGGGGGACAAAAGCCCUGGGAAAGUAGCUCUCCAGGGAGUGUUAUAGCCCGAGGCAGAAUAUCCCCGGGGGGGCCGAGGCCCGCGCGCUCCGCAAGGAUGCUGGCGUAAUGGUCAUCAGCGGCCCGUCUUGAAACACGGACCAAGGAGUCAAGCAUUGGGGCGAGUGUGCGGGUGCUAAAAACCCGCGCGCGCAAUGAAAGUGAACGCUGGU